GAUGAACGCUGGCGGCGUGCCUAAUACAUGCAAGUCGAGCGAACAGACGAGGAGCUUGCUCCUCUGACGUUAGCGGCGGACGGGUGAGUAACACGUGGAUAACCUACCUAUAAGACUGGGAUAACUUCGGGAAACCGGAGCUAAUACCGGAUAACAUGUUGAACCGCAUGGUUCAACAGUGAAAGACGGUCUUGCUGUCACUUAUAGAUGGAUCCGCGCCGCAUUAGCUAGUUGGUAAGGUAACGGCUUACCAAGGCAACGAUGCGUAGCCGACCUGAGAGGGUGAUCGGCCACACUGGAACUGAGACACGGUCCAGACUCCUACGGGAGGCAGCAGUAGGGAAUCUUCCGCAAUGGGCGAAAGCCUGACGGAGCAACGCCGCGUGAGUGAAGAAGGUCUUCGGGUCGUAAAACUCUGUUAUUAGGGAAGAACAAAUGUGUAAGUAACUAUGCACGUCUUGACGGUACCUAAUCAGAAAGCCACGGCUAACUACGUG
rnacentral:rRNA from 1 species